GAAGAUUAUUGGGGGCUGCCUCUUCUGCGCUGAGAGAAAAAAAAAGGUCCUGGUUUCUGAGGAUUUCACAAGAAUCAGGUGUGACUGUGCUGUGCUGUCUACUCCUGUCAAGGAUGUGCACCCUUGUGUCCGUUGUUAUUCCGAUUUUAGAGACCCUUCAGAACGAUGUGCUCUGCCGGCCUUGUUUUACCUGUGUGAGGUGACUGCAUGUUAGCGUAUAGAAGUUCAGCGUGUGCAGCUCAUAGAAUGAGUACCCUGGAGAGAGAUACUAUGCGUCUUACUUCUGUGUUACAUGGUUAAGUGGUAGCUCUGCCUGUCGCUGGUACAUUGACAAGGAUAUACCUGAUGUCAAUUCCUUCCGUGCAAGCCUUGGAGGCCAGUUUACUCCUCUGACUGCCUAUAUCCCCACGGGGCCGGAUGCCCUUCCAACCCAUGUCUAUGCUGAUCCUAUUGAGAUGACCAUGAAAGAGCUCAACGGGGUUGAUCGCUUCGUUGAUAUGGACAAAAGGUUUAUCUUCUUCUGGCUUGUGACAAGCUUUGUUGGUUUCUGUUGAUUGCAAUUGUCUGGUGCUUCGCAACUCCUAGGUAGUCUACUCUCGAGUCAUGGUUGCAGCGCCCAGUUCGACGAGGUGCAGUGCCCCAAGCGCCCAGGAUGGCCCCUCAACCUGCUCGUGAGGUGGGUGGGAGAUGGAGGUGCCGCUAACUUCCUCAUCCACAACAUCAGGCUUCCUGAGGCGGCCCUCCGCUCUCGCUCAAGCCACUGCAGCCUCGAGGAUCAAAUCUUCCUAGGGGAAAUGUCCACAAGCAGAGAAGGGAUGGCACGACCUGUGCGGAGGCAGUCGUCGUCAUCCUUGGCAUCCAGCUGAGCGCCUCGCCAGAGAGCCUCGGGUGGGAGAAGGAACAACAUCACGUCGAGAAGGAGGGGCCAUCACACGAUGCGUUGUGGAUCACAAGGAUAAAUGUGACCAAAUUGUUCAUGGUAGGACAUGUUCAAAGUCAUGAUAAAAGCGACCAAAUUGUCAAAAACCGUGAUGUUCGCUUUGUGUUUAGGAGCACAAGAUGUAUGUCUCCUGAUCAAAAGCAAGUGGUUUCUUCUGAUUUCCAUCGCCUUUCCUUUCCAGCCAUGCAGGUGAGUCAUGCAAAGCUAAUACAAGAUGGUGCGCUCGAAAUGGAGGAUUUAAUUUGGUAUACGACUAUAUGUUAUAGAAGCUUGCCAAAAACAAGCACAAUAGCAGAAAUCAAAUGAAAAUUACUCUAGGUGGAAGAAGCUACUACUCCAGGCCUGACUGAAAGAAAGAAGUAUUUUAUACCUUAGUUGGAUUUAAUUACUACCAUUGAUAUCUUCUUUCACCGACUUGACAGAUGCUGAGUUAAGACCUUUAAUGUUUGGGUUUGGGUGGCAGGGGAUUCUUGCAUUGUCGGACAUCAGACAGCAUUUGGUGUUGUAGGAGUGUCAGCCUGGCAGGGUACAUUUGGCGAGGUUCUGAAAUUAUGUGGAAGAGUAUUGCAUACUCAGCUACUCCAAUCGUUUGGGGAUGGUGGACUUGAUUGCUGAAUCAAUGGUGCCAUGUCAUGCCCCCUAUAUUACCUUUGCCCAAAUCAAAGUGCAUAUAUUUCCACGAGGUACCUCUCAACUCUAAAUUUACUAAUCAAAGAAGUCAAAGCUACACUCCAGCCACUGAACUGGGUUUUACAUCAUUGCGGAUGCAUGAGUGUGUCAUUGGACUGUCAUGACAGAUAAAAGGGUUGUCGUACACAGCACUGUGCUUGGUUUACCUUGGGCUCAUCAUCAAGGAUGAUGGCAGCAGUCGGGCACUCGGGCCUGAGGAGGCGGUGCUGUCAGCGAGUCUCCGCCGGAGGAGGCGAGGACCAUCAUGAUGUUUCAUAACUUCAAAUCAUUCAGUAAUUGAUGUUUAGGAAAUGUAUUAAGAGCAUCGUGCAGAAGUUCAUGAUUGUUUUACUCAGUUAUGAAAAAUGAAGCAGAUGAGCAUUCCAUGUAUUCUUGUUUGUAGCACAGUAUAAGGGCAAUAAUUUUUAGAUGGUCGGCUUAUUAACAUUAACAUUUGUUAAACAAUGGAUAUGUUGCUCGGUCCUUCACCGUACAACAUGCUUCAAAGGGUGGACCAUAUCACCAUCCUCAAUCCAUGAGUGUGGUAGCA